rnacentral:rRNA from 1 species
GACGAACGCUGGCGGCGUGCUUAACACAUGCAAGUCGAACGAAGAGCGAUGGAAGCUUGCUUCUAUCAAUCUUAGUGGCGAACGGGUGAGUAACGCGUAAUCAACCUGCCCUUCAGAGGGGGACAACAGUUGGAAACGACUGCUAAUACCGCAUACGAUCUAAACUCGGCAUCGAGGAUAGAUGAAAGGUGGCCUCUACAUGUAAGCUAUCACUGAAGGAGGGGAUUGCGUCUGAUUAGCUAGUUGGAGGGGUAACGGCCCACCAAGGCGAUGAUCAGUAGCCGGUCUGAGAGGACGAACGGCCACAUUGGGACUGAGACACGGCCCAGACUCCUACGGGAGGCAGCAGUGGGGAAUCUUCCGCAAUGGACGAAAGUCUGACGGAGCAACGCCGCGUGAGUGAUGACGGCCUUCGGGUUGUAAAGCUCUGUUAAUCGGGACGAAAGGCCUUCUUGCGAAUAGUGAGAAGGAUUGACGGUACCGGAAUAGAAAGCCACGGCUAACUACGUG